ensembl:lncRNA
CAAUUAUUGUUUCAUUACUGAAUAUGCAAUCUCUGCAGUGAAAUUAGAGCUGUUAUGUUUGUUCCCCCAGCUCGUCAAGUACUAAGCUUUACACCCCCAGCAGCAAAUUUACCCUGGCAGCAUAUGGGUGAAAACGCUGGAGAUUUCCAGAGACUCCAGAAUGAAAACCAAGCCCUGAGGGAAUGCAAUGCACAAGCAGCUUCGGAUGACAGCGGCUCACUUCAAGAGCAGGUGAAGCAAGUAGGGACAAUGUUGAAGAUGUUUGCUCUCACUGGGCAAUCAGGUGCGUUACCUGAAAGGAGCAUCUGACCGUGAAGGCAGAAAAAGGCGCCGCACAGCUGAGAAGGACCCACAGCCGACAGCUUAAACCUAGGCUGACUACUGACACUCCAGCAUCACUGACAACUGGAACACUUUCUUUACCCUGCAGUCAGUAACAUCAAGAAGCCAGAAGUACCAGACUACACUCACCAAAUCCACCAUGUUUAUUUUUGUAUUUUAACUUUAGUAUUGGCUUAUUUCAUUCCGUCAGUGCUUAACAAUUCUAUUAUAGUUUGUAAAUCCUAUUUCAUACCUGUAACUUGAUAUUGCACAUUAACUAGUACCAAAAUUCUACUUUCAUUCCAU